rnacentral:sRNA from 1 species
GAUCAAGAAUGAGACUAGGAUAGUCUUUAUCACUACAUGUGGGCAUGUAGGAAUUAUCUUUUUCCCUCCUUUUUGUCCGGCCUACUAGGAAGCUCAUCUAAGCUUCAUAUUCUAUUCCUGUAUGCUUCUCAAAUUCAUGUGGAUUGUAUUUUUUUUUGUCUAUUUUUUUGACCUUGCGUUUGCCUAUACUGAUUUUUCUUUUUUAAUAAACUCCCUCAACUCUUUUGAAGUAGGCUGGGAUAACUAAUUCAGUCAAGUACAAUUCAGUUAGCCCUUACAUGACUUUGGAACAAUCAUUUGCUGAUGUGUUAUCCCAUUGUUUCCUCAUUCGUCAAUGUGGAUAAAAAUUGUUCUCUCUCAGGUUCUUUUAUCUUUUAUGAAAAUCAACUAAAAAGUCAUAAAAAUCUUUUUUUGAAGUUAAGAGUAUUAUCCUAAUGAUGGAUACAAUAUGGGCCAUCUCCAUAGAGCUGUAUAUUUCUUCUGGUUUCAGAUUUUAAAGAUUUACACAUAAAUUUUAAAUGAUUUUUUUAAAGUCUUUUCUAGUAUAACAUGUUUGCUUUCUUUCUUUCUGUCUUUUUAGUUUCAUAGCUUCUUUUUAAAUAAUUGCUCAUUCCCAUCAGGGCUCUUUCUGCUUUUCUUUUGCAGAAUAUGUGAGAUCCAGGCUGUUGACUGUACUACAAUAUCCUCAUUUACAGUGAGGGAAUGUGAGGGAUCCAGUAGGAUGGGCUCAAGACCAAGGCGCUACUUGUUCACAGGCCAUACAAAUGGCAGUAUUCAAAUGUGGGAUCUGACCACUGCUAUGGAUAUGGUUAACAAAAGUGAAGAUAAGGGUAGGUUCUCAUACAGAAAGAUGUUUGUCCCAAGGUUAAGCUUUUCACUUAAGUGAUUUUAAUGACUAUUUGUUCUCCUAAGAUGUAGGUGGUCCAACCGAAGAAGAGCUACUCAAAUUACUGGAUCAAUGUGAUUUGAGCACAUCUCGCUGUGCUACUCCUAACAUCAGUCCAGCAACUUCCGUAGUUCAGCAUAGCCACUUACGAGAAUCAAAUUCUAGCCUUCAGCUUCAGCACCAUGAUACCACCCAUGAAGCAGCUACUUACGGUUCCAUGAGGCCUUACAGAGAAAGUCCUUUAUUAGCAAGGGCAAGAAGGACUGAGAGCUUUCACAGUUAUAGGGACUUCCAGACCAUUAAUUUGAACAGAAAUGUAGAAAGAGCUGUCCCUGAAAAUGGUAACUUGGGUCCAAUACAAGCUGAAGUGAAAGGGGCAACAGGGGAAUGUAAUAUAUCUGAGAGAAAGUCUCCUGGAGUAGAAAUAAAAAGUUUGAGAGAAUUGGAUAGCGGAUUGGAAGUGCAUAAAAUAGCUGAAGGUUUUUCAGAAUCCAAGAAAAGGUCAUCAGAAGAUGAAAAUGAAAAUAAAAUAGAGUUUAGGAAGAAAGGAGGAUUUGAAGGGGGAGGAUUCCUUGGAAGAAAGAAAGUUCCCUAUCUGGCGUCAUCACCAAGUACUUCCGAUGGAGGAACUGACUCACCUGGUACUGCGUCCCCAUCUCCUACAAAGACUACUCCAUCUCCUCGGCAUAAAAAAAGUGAUUCUUCAGGUCAGGAGUACAGCUUGUGAAAACUCACCAAAAUGAAUAGUUGUUUCGUUACAUUUAGAUGAAAGUUAAACUUUACGGAAUUUCAAUACAUUAGUUUUUACACUAAAACUUUACAAGAUAAAAUUGGACUUCAUUUAGUAUCUUUUUAACAGAAUUACUUGGAAUAAUGAGAUACAAUAAUCAUAUCUCUUUUGACAUUUUGGAAAUUUUUUUAAUUUUACAAGUACAUUUAACAGAUCAUUUAUAAAGCAGGAGUCCAUUUUAACACUUACUGACUUUUUUUGGUUUGGAAACAUAUUACCACGUCUUAAUAGGAUGGUGCCCAUAUAGGUGAGCAUCCCUUUAGAUCUUGGGAACCAGCAGACUGCAUUCCUAAUCUUCAUUAUGCCUGAGACUUGUCUUACAAUGUUACCUUUAAGUGAAUCACAUAAUUGUCUUUGGAACUUGGUCUCCCAACACUUACUGUGAUUGCAAAGUGUUUACCAGAUAUUUGAUGAGGUGCUAUGUUUGUGAAAAACAUAUCAUGUAAUUCAAAAACACUAUUGAUAUUGAAUACCAGAUACCACUAUGUAGUAAGUCUUUUAGGAUGAUUUUAAUUUAGUCGUGUGUCAUUUUCUGAUUCUCAUCAUUGGGAGUUCUUAAAUCUUAGCAAGCAUUAGCAAUAUUAAAUGCCAAAAUUCCAUUGAAACUUUCAAGUUGGAGCAAUUGUCUGUGUUUGAAAAGAUGAAAUAAAAAUAAUAAUCAAGGGCAAAGCUUUGAGUGCCCACAAGGGAAAGCCGUACCAGUUGCUAACCUGUCUUGUUUCAGGAGCCACCAUGUUUUUUUUUCAGUGUUAACAAUCAUGAUAAUUAAAUUAAAACACUAUUUUGUUCACUUGUAGGACUGCAGUUCUGAAUUUUGGGUUAAAGGUUUUGGCUGCUGUAAGAAUGUGAAUUUGAAUGUAUUUUGAAUUGUAAGAGCAAAAGAACGUUUUUGUACAAUUUUUUUUUCAUUUAAUUGGAAUGAUCUUCAGGUUUCUACAAAUAGGGUAAUUGUAAAUUUAAAGCAUUAGCAUUUAUUGGUGAAUAAUGUAUAUAUCCCCAUUCCAAGAAAUAUAAGUGAGUGAAGUUGAAAUAAAAUCUUUAAAAUUUA